rnacentral:rRNA from 1 species
CCUACGGGGGGCUGCAGUGGGGAAUAUUGGACAAUGGGGGGAACCCUGAUCCAGCCAUGCCGCGUGUGUGAAGAAGGCCCUCGGGUUGUAAAGCACUUUCAGUGAGGAAGAACGCCUGGUGGUUAAUACCCAUCAGGAAAGACAUCACUCACAGAAGAAGCACCGGCUAACUCCGUGCCAGCAGCCGCGGUAAUACGGAGGGUGCGAGCGUUAAUCGGAAUUACUGGGCGUAAAGCGCGCGUAGGUGGCUUGAUAAGCCGGUUGUGAAAGCCCCGGGCUCAACCUGGGAACGGCAUCCGGAACUGUCAAGCUAGAGUGCAGGAGAGGAAGGUAGAAUUCCCGGUGUCGCGGUGAAAGGCGAAGGGAUCGGGAGGAAUACCAGUGGCGAAGGCGGCCUUGUGGACUGACACUGACACUGAGGUGCGAAAGCGUGGGUAGCAAACAGGAUUAGAUACCCGUGUAGUC